CCUACGGGGGGCAGCAGUGGGGAAUAUUGGACAAUGGGGGCAACCCUGAUCCAGCCAUGCCGCGUGAGUGAUGAAGGCCUUAGGGUUGUAAAGCUCUUUCACCGGUGAAGAUAAUGACGGUAACCGGAGAAGAAGCCCCGGCUAACUUCGUGCCAGCAGCCGCGGUAAUACGAAGGGGGCUAGCGUUGUUCGGAAUUACUGGGCGUAAAGCGCACGUAGGCGGAUAUUUAAGUCAGGGGUGAAAUCCCGGAGCUCAACUCCGGAACUGCCUUUGAUACUGGAUAUCUAGAGUCCGAGAGAGGUGAGUGGAACUCCUAGUGUAGAGGUGGAAUUCGUAGAUAUUAGGAAGAACACCAGUGGCGAAGGCGGCUCACUGGCUCGGUACUGACGCUGAGGUGCGAAAGCGUGGGGAGCAAACAGGAUUAGAUACCCCUGUAGUC
rnacentral:rRNA from 1 species